AGCGCAGGCGGCUAGGUCAGUCUGAAGUGAAAGUCCGGGGCUCAACCCCGGAAGGGCUUCGGAUACUGCCUGGCUUGAGUACGUGAGAGGUGAGCGGAAUUUCAGGUGAAGCGGUGAAAUGCGUAGAUAUCUGAAGGAACAUCGGUGGCGAAAGCGGCUCACUGGCACGAAACUGACGCUGAGGCUGAAAGCGUGGGGAGCGAACG
rnacentral:rRNA from 1 species